rnacentral:rRNA from 1 species
UACGGGUUGCUGCAGUGGGGAAUAUUGCGCAAUGGGGGAAACCCUGACGCAGCGACGCCGCGUGUAGGAAGAAGGCCUUCGGGUCGUAAACUACUGUCAAGAGGGAAGAAACUGUUUAGGUAUAAUACGCCUAAUCACUGACGGUACCUCUAGAGGAAGCACCGGCUAGCUCCGUGCCAGCAGCCGCGGUAAUACGGAGGGUGCGAGCGUUAAUCGGAAUCACUGGGCGUAAAGCGUGCGUAGGCGGCGUGGCAAGUCAGACGUGAAAGCCCUCGGCUCAACCGAGGAAUUGCGUUUGAAACUGCCAUGCUAGAGUCUCGGAGAGGUUGGCGGAAUUCCAGGUGUAGGAGUGAAAUCCGUAGAUAUCUGGAGGAACACCGGUGGCGAAGGCGGCCAACUGGACGAGUACUGACGCUGAGGUACGAAAGCGUGGGGAGCAAACAGGAUUAGAUACCCCAGUAGUC